rnacentral:rRNA from 1 species
GAUGAACGCUAGCGACAGGCUUAACACAUGCAAGUCGAGGGGCAGCAUAGAAGUAGCAAUACUUUGGUGGCGACCGGCGCACGGGUGAGUAACGCGUAUGCAACCUACCUAUCAGAGGGGAAUAACCCGGCGAAAGUCGGACUAAUACCGCAUAAAACAGGGGCACCGCAUGGUGAUAUUUGUUAAAGAAAUUCGCUGAUAGAUGGGCAUGCGUUCCAUUAGGUAGUUGGUGAGGUAACGGCUCACCAAGGCGACGAUCAGUAGGGGGCGUGAGAGCGUGACCCCCCACACGGGUACUGAGACACGGACCCGACUCCUACGGGAGGCAGCAGUAAGGAAUAUUGGGCAAUGGAGGCAACUCUGACCCAGCCAUCCCGCGUGAAGGAUUAAGGCCCUAUGGGUUGUAAACUUCUUUUGUUUGGGAAGAAAUCUGGACAUUUAUGUGCAGUUGACGGUACCUUACGAAUAAGCACCGGCUAACUCCGUG